rnacentral:rRNA from 1 species
UUCCGUAGGUGAACCUGCGGAAGGAUCAUUACCGAGUGAGGGCCCUUUGGGUCCAACCUCCCACCCGUGUUUAUUUACCUCGUUGCUUCGGCGGGCCCGCCUUAACUGGCCGCCGGGGGGCUCACGCCCCCGGGCCCGCGCCCGCCGAAGACACCCCCGAACUCUGCCUGAAGAUUGUCGUCUGAGUGAAAAUAUAAAUUAUUUAAAACUUUCAACAACGGAUCUCUUGGUUCCGGCAUCGAUGAAGAACGCAGCGAAAUGCGAUACGUAAUGUGAAUUGCAAAUUCAGUGAAUCAUCGAGUCUUUGAACGCACAUUGCGCCCCCUGGUAUUCCGGGGGGCAUGCCUGUCCGAGCGUCAUUGCUGCCCUCAAGCCCGGCUUGUGUGUUGGGCCCCGUCCUCCGAUUCCGGGGGACGGGCCCGAAAGGCAGCGGCGGCACCGCGUCCGGUCCUCGAGCGUAUGGGGCUUUGUCACCCGCUCUGUAGGCCCGGCCGGCGCUUGCCGAUCAACCCAAAUUUUUAUCCAGGUGACCUCGGAUCAGGUAGGGAUACCCGCUGAACUUAAGCAUAUCAAUAAGCGGAGGA